CGGUCAGCCCCGCCUGUCUGGCGGUACUGUGCACCCAUUUGCCUCUCUGUGUCCCUGGCUGCCUCGCGUUCCCCUCUCCCGCCGCUCCUGACUUAGGCUCCCUGCGUAGGGUUACCUCGGUUUCACUUCUCGGGGCCAUUCCUCUCCCUGAAGGGGCGGGUAGUGUAAACCUAAGGCACGCGCUAACCACAGCGUGCGGGUACCCUCCCCCAGCCCCGCGCCGGAGACUACAUUUCCCGGCGGGUCCUGCGCCCACACCGUGGUCAGCUGACCGGUCUCGUGAUCUGCUGACUGUAAGGGGGUUCGACUGGAGGUGAUUAUCCUGGGCCGCUCCUGACCUCCGAGCAAGCGGAGCCAAAAUGUCUCCGGAAUCUAAAAAGCUUUUCAACAUCGUAAUUUUAGGAGUUGCCUUUAUGUUUAUGUUCACCGCCUUUCAGACUUGUGGAAAUGUGGCGCAAACUGUCAUCAGGAGCUUAAAUAGCACAGAUUUUCAUGGCAGUGGAUAUACCAGCUUGGCAAUUAUUUAUGGCGUGUUCUCUGCCUCAAAUUUGAUCACUCCGUCCGUGGUCGCCAUUGUCGGGCCUCAGAUCUCUAUGUUUGUCAGUGGUUUGUUCUACAGCAUCUGUUUUCAUCGGGAUCGCAGCUGCCGUCCUUUGGACAGCACAAGGAAAUUGCCUGACAAUAAACUCUGAUGAACACACAAUCGGGAGAAACAGCGGGAUUUUCUGGGCACU
rnacentral:lncRNA from 1 species